rnacentral:rRNA from 1 species
UACGUAGGGUGCAAGCGUUAAUCGGAAUUACUGGGCGUAAAGCGUGCGCAGGCGGCUUUGCAAGUCAGAUGUGAAAUCCCCGGGCUUAACCUGGGAACUGCAUUUGUGACUGCAUGGCUGGAGUGCGGCAGAGGGGGAUGGAAUUCCGCGUGUAGCAGUGAAAUGCGUAGAUAUGCGGAGGAACACCGAUGGCGAAGGCAAUCCCCUGGGCCUGCACUGACGCUCAUGCACGAAAGCGUGGAGAGCAAACAGG